AGAGAAUAUAAUUUUUGAAAGAGGUUGAAAUUUUAAAAUGUUAAUUAAUGAGAAGCUCAUUAGAGAGAAAUACUUCUGUCAAAUGAUCAGAACGACAUAGUAUUUAAGUAGUUACCUUCCAGCAGGAUGUGCUGUGUGAUUUGAAGCUAUGUGUUUGUCUUUGAAUGGACUGAGAAAACUUGGAACUUCUUUUUGAGAAUAAAGGUUUCACUGGCACUUCUUAAACAUGUUUGUCUUGUCCCUUGUUUGAGUUUUCUCUGGCCUUCUCUACCUUGGCAAGUAAUGUGGUCUGUUAGAAGCAGGUCUUCAGGCAGAAGGAGUUGAGGCUGGCAACAUGAUUUGUAUCAUCUUUGUGCUUCAGUCGAACUAGCUGUGCCUGUACUGAUUCUUCUUUAGCAGUUGAAGUGCUAGGUACAUUUCUAGAAUUCAACUGUCUGGUUAGAUUUAUCUAAAAGAAAUUAAUUCCUGUGCUCAAGACCACCCUCAGUGUGAAAACAGUAUCGUUAGUGGGGAUAAUAAAAAAAAUUUGACUCGCUGUUGAGUCCAGCUAAAAGCACCUGUUUCUGCCUACACAUGGAAGAAAUUGAGAGUGAUGAUAAAGGAAACCAGUUUACAAAAUGACUUUGCUGUUGAGUCAAGAGCUCUUUGAUAAAGCCUAGAAAAUAGAGGAACUCCUUUUCCCAGCCCUUAAAGGGGAGAACUGGGAUAGGUAGAGGAGAACAAGGUAAAACCAUGGGUGGAGAGG